AUGUUAUCUGGCUUGAUACGCCAGUUUUUCUGAGAAAAUCACUCUGCCAGUGGUGAGAGAAUGGAAGAGCUGAAAACAUCUUCUUUUUUCAAAGUCAUAUGUCACAAACCUAGGAGACUCCAAAAAAUAAAUUAUGGAAUAUUAUGACCACUGCUGCCAAGGAUACGGUGAAAUAGAUCCAUUACAGAAUUGAGAUUGCAGGACACACUACCACCCUGAAAACUGGAGAUAGGCAAAUACAGAGAGGAAGCAGAUCAGCUUACCUGAAGCAGAGGCCGCUGGAAUCAGUGACAGGCUGCAUUUGUAACCAAGCCCUGGUCCUUUUCAUUGCAUCUUGCCAGAAUGAAGAAGAGCUGAUCUCUCCAGUUCCUGUUAUUCCCCUUACAUUGCCCA
rnacentral:lncRNA from 1 species